rnacentral:rRNA from 1 species
GAGCGCGGCGCGCCCACGUCCGUAAAACACCCAACUUUCUGAAAUGUGAC